rnacentral:rRNA from 1 species
GUGCGGGGAGUAUAAACUCUCUCCGUGUCGCAGCUAACGCAUUAAGUACUCCGCCUGGGAAGUACGGUCGCAAGGCUGAAACUUAAAGGAAUUGGCGGGGGAGCACCACAACGGGUGGAGCUUGCGGUUUAAUUGGAUUCAACGCCGGAAAUCUUACCGGGACCGACAGCAACAUGAAGGCCAGGCUGAAGACUUUGCCGGAUUAGCUGAGAGGUGUUGCAUGGCCGUCGUCAGUUCGUACUGUGAAGCAUCCUGUUAAGUCAGGCAACGAGCGAGACCCACGCCCACAGUUGCCAGCGUACUCUCCGGAGUGACGGGUACACUGUGGGGACCGCCGCUGCUAAAGCGGAGGAAGGAAUGGGCAACGGUAGGUCAGUAUGCCCCGAAUAUCCCGGGCCACACGCGAGCUACAAUGGUUGGUACAAUGGGUAUCUACCCCGAAAGGGGACGGAAAUCUCCUAAAACCAAUCUUAGUUCGGAUUGAGGGCUGCAACUCGCCCUCAUGAAGCUGGAAUCCGUAGUAAUCGCGUUUCAAAAUAACGCGGUGAAUGUGUCCCUGCUCCUUGCACACACCGCCCGUCAAACCACCCGAGUGGGGUUUGGAUGAGGCUGCGGUCGUUGCCGCGGUCGAAUCUAGGUUCCGCAAGGGGGGUUAAGUCGUAACAAGGUAGCCGUAGGGGAACCUGCGGCUG